rnacentral:rRNA from 1 species
CAGUAGCCGCGGUAAUACGUAGGUGACAAGCGUUGUCCGGAAUUAUUGGGCGUAAAGGGAGCGCAGGCGGUUGGAAUAGUCUGAUGUGAAAGCCCACGGCUUAACCGUGGAAUUGCAUUGGAAACUGUCCAACUUGAAUGCAGAAGAGGAAAGCGGAAUUCCAUGUGUAGCGGUGAAAUGCGUAGAUAUAUGGAGGAACACCAGUGGCGAAGGCGGCUUUCUGGUCUGUGAUUGACGCUGAGGCUCGAAAGCGUGGGGAGCGAACAGGAUUAGAGACCCGCGUAGUCCCUGUCUCUUAUAC